GUGCACGCUGGCGGUCGGCCUCACACAUGCAAGUCGCACGGCAGCACAGUAAGAGCUUGCUCUUACGGGUGGCGAGUGGCGGACGGGUGAGGAAUACAUCGGAAUCUACUUUUUCGUGGGGGAUAACGUAGGGAAACUUACGCUAAUACCGCAUACGACCUACGGGUGAAAGCAGGGGAUCUUCGGACCCUGCGCGAUUGAAUGAGCCGAUGUCGGAUUAGCUAGUUGGCGGGGUAAAGGCCCACCAAGGCGACGAUCCGUAGCUGGUCUGAGAGGAUGAUCAGCCACACUGGAACUGAGACACGGUCCAGACUCCUACGGGAGGCAGCAGUGGGGAAUAUUGGACAAUGGGCGCAAGCCUGAUCCAGCCAUACCGCGUGGGUGAAGAAGGCCUUCGGGUUGUAAAGCCCUUUUGUUGGGAAAGAAAAGCAGCAGGUUAAUACCCCGCUGUUCUGACGGUACCCAAAGAAUAAGCACCGGCUAACUUCGUG
rnacentral:rRNA from 1 species